CAGGUAAAAACCUGUACAGAGACAGGUAGAGAAAGACAGGUAAAGACCUGCCCAGAGACAGGUAGAGAGAGAGACAGGUAAGGACCUGCACAGAGACAGGUAGAGAGAGACAGGUAAGGACCUUCACAGAGACAGGUAGAGAAGGAGACAGGUAAGAACCUGCACAGAGACAGGUAGAGAGAGAGACAGGUAAGGACCUGCACAGAGACAGGUAGAGAGAGACAGGUAAAGACCUUCACAGAGACAGGUAGAGAAGGAGACAGGUAAGAACCUGCACAGAGACAGGUAGAGAGAGAGACAUGUACAGAGACAUAGAAACAGGUAAGGACCUGCACAGAGACAGGUAGAGAGACAGGUAAAAACCUGUACACAGACAGGUAGAGAAAGACAGGUAAAGACUUAGUCAGAGACAGGUAGAGAAAGACAGGUAAAGACUUGCACAGAGACAGGUAGAGAAGGAGACAAGUAAAAACCUGUAUAGAGACAGGUAGAGAGACAGGUAAAAACCUGUACACAGACAGGUAGAGAAGGAGACACAGGUAAAGACAUGUACAGAUACAUAGAGAGAGACAGGUAAGGACCUGCACAGAGACAGGUAGAGAGAGAGACAGGUAAAGACAUGUACAGAGACAGGUAGAGAAGGAGACAGGUAAAGACUUGCACAGAGACAGGUCGAGAGAGAGACAGGUAAAGACCUGCACUGAGACAAGUAGAGAAGGAGACAGGUAAAGACUUGCACAGAGACACGUAGAGAAGGAGACAGGUAAGGACCUGCACAGAGACAGGUAGAGAGAGACAGGUAAGGACCUUCACAGAGACAGGUAGAGAAGGAGACAGGUAAGGACCUGCACAGAGACAGGUAGAGAAGGAGACAGGUAAGGACCUGCACAGAGACAGGUAGAGAAGAAGACAGGUAAGGACCUGCACAGAGACAGGUAGAGAAGGAGACAAGUAAGGACCUGCACAGAGACACGUAGAGAAGAAGACA